rnacentral:rRNA from 1 species
UACGUAGGGUGCGAGCGUUAAUCGGAAUUACUGGGCGUAAAGGGCGCGUAGGCGGCCUGUUAAGUCGAACGUGAAAUCCCUGGGCUCAACCCAGGAACUGCGUCCGAUACUGGCAGGCUUGAAUCCGGGAGAGGGAUGUGGAAUUCCAGGUGUAGCGGUGAAAUGCGUAGAUAUCUGGAGGAACACCGGUGGCGAAGGCGGCAUCCUGGACCGGUAUUGACGCUGAGGCGCGAAAGCCAGGGGAGCAAACGGG